rnacentral:lncRNA from 1 species
AACAUUAAGUAAAUUGUUAUGUCACAUUUUUUCCUUCUUUUUCCAAGCAAAUGAACUUAUAAACAAAUUUCAAAUUUUUAGUAAAUUUUAAAUUUAUCUUCAAACUGCUUAUGAUGCAUUUCGUUACAAUACUUGGCUAUAAUAUCUAAGUGAUGCAUCUUCAUAAAUUUAAAAUUUAUGUUCAAUGCUUUCUAUAUGCUUUUGCUCAAGCAUUUUGU